rnacentral:rRNA from 1 species
GCCUAACACAUACAAGUCGAACGGAGCCAUCUAAACAAUCCCUUCGGGGUGCGUUUGGGGAAGCUUAGUGGCGGACGGGUGAGUAACGCGUGAGUAACCUGCCUUUCAGAGGGGGAUAACGUUCCGAAAGGAACGCUAAUACCGCAUAACGUAUUUUUACCGCCUGAUAGAGAUACCAAAGAUUUAUCGCUGAAAGAUGGACUCGCGUCUGAUUAGCUAGUUGGAGGGGUAACGGCCCACCAAGGCGACGAUCAGUAGCCGAACUGAGAGGUUGAUCGGCCACAUUGGGACUGAGACACGGCCCAGACUCCUACGGGAGGCAGCAGUGGGGGAUAUUGCGCAAUGGGGGAAACCCUGACGCAGCAAUGCCGCGUGAAGGAAGAAGGUCUUCGGAUCGUAAACUUUUGUCUUCAGGGACGAUAAUGACGGUACCUGAGGAGGAAGCCACGGCUAACUACGUGCCAGCCGCCGCAGUAAGAC